GAUGAACGCUGGCGGCGUGCCUAAUACAUGCAAGUCGAGCGAACGGACGAGAAGCUUGCUCCUCUGACGUUAGCGGCGGACGGGUGAGUAACACGUGGAUAACCUACCUAUAAGACUGGGAUAACUUCGGGAAACCGGAGCUAAUACCGGAUAAUAUAUUGAACCGCAUGGUUCAAUAGUGAAAGACGGUCUUGCUGUCACUUAUAGAUGGAUCCGCGCUGCAUUAGCUAGUUGGUAAGGUAACGGCUUACCAAGGCAACGAUGCGUAGCCGACCUGAGAGGGUGAUCGGCCACACUGGAACUGAGACACGGUCCAGACUCCUACGGGAGGCAGCAGUAGGGAAUCUUCCGCAAUGGGCGAAAGCCUGACGGAGCAACGCCGCGUGAGUGAUGAAGGUCUUCGGAUCGUAAAACUCUGUUAUUAGGGAAGAACAAAUGUGUAAGUAACUAUGCACGUCUUGAUGGUACCUAAUCAGAAAGCCACGGCUAACUACGUG
rnacentral:rRNA from 1 species